UCAAUUCAAUUUAAUUUUUUAUCGUGUAUUGAAUUUUUUCAUUCAAGUUUAUUUUUCUUAUUGUGCUGUUCGGAUGUCUUGCAUUGAUACUGGAGCUCUACCUCAUUUUGAUUGAUGGAGUUGCUUGAUUUUGAUGUGCUAUAUUUAUACUGGUACCCGCUUUGCAGUUUAAGUUUCAUACCUGUAUUUUUGUUGCCUGUAAUGAUCAUAUAUUUUCAUUCAAUGUUUUUUUUCAAAUGUAACUCCUUAAUAUUUUAUUGUUUGCUAUUUUUUCCAUCCAUUGAUGUUUUCAAUUGAAAGAGUAUCAAUUCAAUUUUUUUUAUCGUGUUUUGAAUUUUUUUCUUUCAAGUUUAUUUUGUUUAUUGAGCUGUUCGGAUGUCUUGCAUUGAUACUGGAGCUCUACCUCAUUUUGAUUGAAGGAGUUGCUUGAUUUUAAUGUGCUAUAUUUAGACUGGUACCCGCUUUGCAGUUUAAGUUUCAUACAUGUAUUUUUGCUGCCUGUAAUGACCAUAUAUUUUCAUUCGAUGUUUUUUUUUCAAAUGUAACUCAAUAAUAUUUUAUUGUUUGUUAUUUUUUCCAUCCAUUGAUGUUUUCAAUUGAAAGAGUCUCAAUUCAAUUUUUUUAUCGUGUAUUGAUGUUUUUUUUUCAAGUUUAUUUUGUUUAUUGAGCUGUUUGGAUGUCUUGCAUUGAUACUGGAGCUCUACCUCAUUUUGAUUGAAG
rnacentral:lncRNA from 1 species